GCGAAGAGAACAUCGUUCGCUGAUGGUGUGCUAAAUGUUGCUGAAGGUAGCCAUAAUUAAAAGAAACAAGUGUGAAUAGUAGUACACGUAGGAAAAAAUUAUUGAUCUAUUUAAUCGUGGGUGUAUCUCGAGGGCAAGGUCGUGAGACGUUUGCUGUUUCCACCUUAAUGUAGUGAAAGUAGUGAAAGUGUUGUGAAAAUGGAAUCAUCUGGGAAGAAAAGAAGAAAAGAAGGAGGCUGAUGAACAUUAAAUCGUGCAAAUCCAUAUGAGCGUAUGCAAGAAUCGACCAGACGUUUCUUGAGCCCAACGACGAAAGGACGACGAGAGAAAGAGAUUGAAGAAAAAGAAAGAGACGAGACAAGAGGGAAGUUAACGGAGACGAGGGAAAAGAGUGCGAAGAGGAUUUGCUGGACAACGGGAUGAAAGGGAAUGCUUGAUCGAGUCCGUGAAAAUCAUAGGAAGCUUGAUUUAAACAUGACAAGGAGAUCGAAAUUGUUAUUAACAAUUUUCAUUGAAAGAGAAGUUUGAACCUUUGUAAACGAAAGCGACACAGGGUAUAUAAUUCAUCGACAACUAAAGGAGAAUAUAGAAAUAGCUUGGAUUUUUCCAACAGUAAGUUCGAAGAUUCUAAUGACGAUAAUAAACUAUGUAUGCAUACAUAGGUAAAAAUUGUACUCUUUAUUUUAAAAUUGAGGUACGAUAAAGAAAGGUGUCAAACCUAUUUAAAUGAUCGAUAUGUAAAUACUUCCGGUAGUUAGUUUCAUGUAAGC